rnacentral:sRNA from 1 species
UACUCACAAUGGUCAACAGUGUUCCUGGU